UGGAUUGGGCAUUGAUUAUCUGGUUAUGGGCUUUGCUUUAUGUUCAGUACUGUAUUCAUGAGUGUCUUGGGUGCUUGGACAAUGAGAGCACUUCUCUCUUGGAGAUCAAAGCUUCCAUCAAUUACCCAAAUGGGUCUUAUCUUCCUUCAUGGGAGGAUGGGACUGACUGUUGUAGCUGGGAAAGAAUCAAGUGCAACAAUGCAACAGGCCGAGUGACUGAAAUUUCUCUCAAUGAGACAAGGGAAGCCGAGUUGGGAGAAUGGUAUCUGAAUGCCGACUUACUUCUAUCUUUUGGAGAACUGCGGAGCCUCAAUUUGUCCUGGAAUAAACUCGCCGGUUGGGUUGAUGAUGAAGGUUUCAAAAGCUCGUUCAGAUUGCCUAACCUAGAGCACCUUGACCUCAGUGGUAACUCCUUCAACGAAAGCAUUUUUCUCUAUUUGGAUUCAAUCUCAUCCCUCAGGACUCUUGAUCUAAGCUCCAAUGAUUUUGAAGGAGGCUUCCCCUGUGAAGAACUGGCCAAGUUGAGCAAACUGGAGGUUUUGAAUUUGAGACAUAACCUACUCAAUGGUUCCCCACUGCCAGGUAAGAGCACUAAUAUCUUACUGAUAGAUGCUGGA